GACGAACGCUGGCGGCGCGCUUAACACAUGCAAGUCGAACGGAAAGGCCUGCUUUCCCUUGUGGAUUGCGGGUACUCGAGUGGCGAACGGGUGAGUAACACGUGAGUGAUCUGCCCCCAACUUGGGUAUAAGCCUGGGAAACUGGGUCUAAUUCCCGAUAGGACUGCAGGGUGGUUCCUGUGGUGGAAAACGAUUUUCUAGUGGUUGGGGAUGAGCUCGCGGCCUAUCAGCUUGUUGGUGGGGUAAUGGCCUACCAAGGCGGCGACGGGUAGCCGGCCUGGGAGGGUGGACGGCCACAUUGGGACUGAGAUACGGCCCAGACUACUACGGGAGGCAGCAGUGGGGAAUAUUGCACGAUGGGCGGAAGCCUGAUGCAGGGACGCCGCGUGGGGGAUGACGGCCUUCGGGUUGUAAACUCCUUUCGACCGCGAGGAAGCCACCUGGUUGGAAGGGUGGUGACGGUAGUGGUAGAAGAAGCACCGGCUAACUACGUG
rnacentral:rRNA from 1 species